AUGGGCUCCAGGCUCCUCUGCUGGGCGACCUUCUGUCUCCUGGGGGCAGGUCACACAGGAGCUGGAGUGUCCCAGUCCCCCAGGCACAGGGUCACAGGGACAGGCCAGGCUGUAGUUCUCAGGUGUGACCCAAUUUCUGGUCACCAAGUCUUUUACUGGUACUGACAGAUGCUGGGGCAGGGCCCGGAGUUUCUGACUUAUUUUCAGAGAAAAGGUGCACCAGACGCAUCGGGGAUGCCUAGUGAUUGGUUCACCGCUGAGAGGCCUGAGGGCUCGUACUCGCAUCUGAAGAUCCAGGGGGCAGGGCCUGGGGACUCGGCCGUGUGUCUCUGUGCCAGCAGCUUAGCCACGUAUUAUGGGAAGUCACAGAGAGACAAAGGAAACAUCCCUGAUCACGUCUCAGCUCAGCAAUUCAGUGACCACACCUCUGAGCUGAACGUGAGCUCCUCGGAGCUGGGAGACACAGCCUCGUACCUCUGUGUCUGCAGCUUAGCAUAG